rnacentral:rRNA from 1 species
AACGAACGCUGGCGGCAGGCUUAACACAUGCAAGUCGAGCGCCCCGCAAGGGGAGCGGCAGACGGGUGAGUAACGCGUGGGAAUCUACCCAUCUCUACGGAAUAACGCAUGGAAACGUGUGCUAAUACCGUAUACGUCCUUCGGGAGAAAGAUUUAUCGGAGAUGGAUGAGCCUGCGUUGGAUUAGCUAGUUGGUGGGGUAAAGGCCUACCAAGGCGACGAUCCCUAGCUGGUCUGAGAGGAUGAUCAGCCACACUGGGACUGAGACCCGGCCCCGACUCCUACGGGAGGCAGCAGUGGGGAAUAUUGGACAAUGGGCGCAAGCCUGAUCCAGCCAUGCCGCGUGAGUGAUGAAGGCCCUAGGGUUGUAAAGCUCUUUCACCGGUGAAGAUAAUGACGGUAACCGGAGAAGAAGCCCCGGCUAACUUCGUGCCAGCCGCCGCCGUAAAAC